rnacentral:rRNA from 1 species
GACGAACGCUGGCGGCGUGCUUAACACAUGCAAGUCGAACGGAAAGGCCCUGCUUUUGUGGGGUGCUCGAGUGGCGAACGGGUGAGUAACACGUGAGUAACCUGCCCUUGACUUUGGUAUAACUUCAGGAAACUGGGGCUAAUACCGGAUAGGAGCUCCUGCUGCAUGGUGGGGGUUGGAAAGUUUCGGCGGUUGGGGAUGGACUCGCGGCUUAUCAGCUUGUUGGUGGGGUAGUUGCUUACCAAGGCUUUGACGGGUAGCCGGCCUGAGAGGGUGACCGGCCACAUUGGGACUGAGAUACGGCGCAGACUGCUACGGGAGGCAGCAGUGGGGAAUAUUGCACAAUGGGCGGAAGCCUGAUGCAGAAACGCCGCGUGCGGGAUGACGGCCUUCGGGUUGUAAACCGCUUUCGCCUGUGACGAAGCGUGAGUGACGGUAAUGGGUAAAGAAGCACCGGCUAACUACGUG